UGCACCAUGUUGGUCUGCAUCGGUCAUGCCAUGCUGUGAAACCUAACACAAUGUGACUGAUGCAGGGUGAUAUGAUGUGU
rnacentral:pre_miRNA from 1 species